AGUGAACGCUGGCGGUAGGCCUAACACAUGCAAGUCGAGCGAACAGACGAGGAGCUUGCUCCUCUGACGUUAGCGGCGGACGGGUGAGUAACACGUGGAUAACCUACCUAUAAGACUGGGAUAACUUCGGGAAACCGGAGCUAAUACCGGAUAAUAUAUUGAACCGCAUGGUUCAAUAGUGAAAGACGGUUUUGCUGUCACUUAUAGAUGGAUCCGCGCCGCAUUAGCUAGUUGGUAAGGUAACGGCUUACCAAGGCAACGAUGCGUAGCCGACCUGAGAGGGGGAUCGGCCACACUGGAACUGAGACACGGUCCAGACUCCUACGGGAGGCAGCAGUAGGGAAUCUUCCGCAAUGGGCGAAAGCCUGACGGAGCAACGCCGCGUGAGUGAUGAAGGUCUUCGGAUCGUAAAACUCUGUUAUUAGGGAAGAACAAAUGUGUAAGUAACUAUGCACGUCUUGACGGUACCUAAUCAGAAAGCCACGGCUAACUACGUG
rnacentral:rRNA from 1 species